CCCAAGAGAUCGGGAUAACACCUGGAAACAAGAUGCUAAUACCGGAUAACAACAGAUGAUGCCUAUCAACUGUUUAAAAGAUGGUUCUGCUAUCACUCUUGGAUGGACCUGCGGUGCAUUAGCUAGUUGGUAGGGUAACGGCCUACCAAGGCGAUGAUGCAUAGCCGAGUUGAGAGACUGAUCGGCCACAUUGGGACUGAGACACGGCCCAAACUCCUACGGGAGGCAGCAGCC
rnacentral:rRNA from 1 species